rnacentral:rRNA from 1 species
CCUACGGGAGACAGCAGUGAGGAAUAUUGGUCAAUGGGCGGAAGCCUGAACCAGCCAAGUCGCGUGAGGGAAUAAGGCCCUACGGGUCGUAAACCUCUUUUGCCGGGGAGCAAGGGCGGGGACGUGUCCCGGCCCGGAGAGUACCCGGAGAAAAAGCAUCGGCUAACUCCGUGCCAGCAGCCGCGGUAAUACGGAGGAUGCGAGCGUUAUCCGGAUUUAUUGGGUUUAAAGGGUGCGUAGGCGGGCUUUUAAGUCAGCGGUAAAAAUUCGGGGCUCAACCCCGUCCGGCCGUUGAAACUGGGGGCCGUGAGUGGGCGAGAAGAAGGCGGAAUGCGUGGUGUAGCGGUGAAAUGCAUAGAUAUUACACAGAACACCGAUUGCGAAGGCAGCUUGCUAGGCCGGAUCUGACACUGAUGCACGAAAGCGUGGGGAUCGAACAGGAUUAGAUACCCUGGUAGUC